rnacentral:lncRNA from 1 species
GGGGGGCGGGACCUGGGGCGGAGAGCGGUUCGCGCGCUUCGGGCCUAGUCCGGACUCGCCGCCGCCGCCGCCAUAUUCCCGGUAACGGGGGCGCGCGGCCGGGGGCAGGUUGGGCCGGAAGAGGGGUCCGGGCCGGCACUGAGGCGGGAAGGGGGUCGGUUGAGAUGGGACGGCCGGAGUCUGCGGGCGGAGGGAGGCGCGGGCCUUUUGAGGGAGGAGGCAGAGCGCGCCGGGCCGGGUUUGUGGGGAGGGAGCGGGGCGGGCCUAGCUGGGGGCGAAGAGUAGGCCUGGGUGGGGGGCAGAGGCGGCUGGAGCUGCUUGACACCUGGGGGCCCUGGCCGGAGCCGCCUUGGGGGCUAGGCAGGGCAUCUUCCUUACUUUGUCCAUCCUCCGGACUCGCGAUCUUCCUUCCGGAGCCAUGUCAGAAGGAGUGGACUUGAUUGAUAUAUAUGCUGACGAGGAGUUCAACCAGGUGAGGGGUCAUCAGGAGCUUUGGGAUUUUCCUUGAUCAUCUGAGGAAUCAUUUUCAGCAAACUGGCAGUGGUUUCAAGCUGUACCAGUCCUAGGCUUGAACACGCGUCUAUCCGGUCUAAAAUUUUUCUCCUGCAGAAACUUUAAAGACUACACUCCAUUCCUCUUUAUGUUAAUUUGAAGCUCCAGG